rnacentral:rRNA from 1 species
CCUACGGGCGGCAGCAGUGGGGAAUAUUGGGCAAUGGGCGCAAGCCUGACCCAGCAACGCCGCGUGAAGGAAGAAGGCUUUCGGGUUGUAAACUUCUUUUCUGAGGGACGAAGAAAGUGACGGUCCCUCAGGACUAAGCCACGGCUAACUACGUGCCAGCAGCCGCGGUAAUACGUAGGUGGCAAGCGUUAUCCGGAUUUAUUGGGUGUAAAGGGCGUGUAGGCGGGAAAGCAAGUCAGUGGUGAAAACUCAGGGCUCAACCCUGAGCCUGCAUUUGAAACUGUUUUUCUGGAGUGCUGGAGAGGCAAUCGGAAUUCCGGGUGUAGCGGUGAAAUGCGUAGAUAUACGGAGGAACACCAGUGGCGAAGGCGGAUUGUUGGACAGUAACUGACGCUGAGGCGCGAAAGCGUGGGGAGCAAACAGGAUUAGAUACCCUGGUAGUC